rnacentral:rRNA from 1 species
AAGGUAUUUUCCCCAAUGGGCGCAAGCCUGAUGCAGCAACGCCGCGUGGGGGAUGACGGCCUUCGGGUUGUAAACCUCUUUCAGCAGGGAAGAAGCGAAAGUGACGGUACCUGCAGAAGAAGCACCGGCUAACUACGUGCCAGCAGCCGCGGUAAUACGUAGGGUGCAAGCGUUGUCCGGAUUUAUUGGGCGUAAAGAGCUCGUAGGCGGUUAGUCACGUCGGCUGUGGAAACUCAGAGCUUAACUCU